rnacentral:rRNA from 1 species
UACAGAGGGUGCAAGCGUUAAUCGGAAUUACUGGGCGUAAAGCGCACGUAGGCGGUUUUUUAAGCAGAUGUGAAAGCCCCGGGCGUCAACCUGGGAAUUGCAUUUGUAAACUGGAAAACUAAGAGUGUGUGAGAGGGGGGUAGAAUUCCAAGUGUAGCGGUGAAAUGCGUAGAUAUGCGGAGGAACACCAAUGGCGAAGGCAAUCCCCUGGGCCUGCACUGACGCUCAUGCACGGAAGCGUGGGGAGCAAACAGGAUUAGAAACCCGUGUAGU